rnacentral:rRNA from 1 species
UUAUCCGGAAUUAUUGGGUUUAAAGGGUGCGUAGGCGGUUUGAUAAGUUAGAGGUGAAAUCCCGGGGCUUAACUCCGGAACUGCCUCUAAUACUGUUAGACUAGAGAGUAGUUGCGGUAGGCGGAAUGUAUGGUGUAGCGGUGAAAUGCUUAGAGAUCAUACAGAACACCGAUAGCGAAGGCAGCUUACCAAACUGUAUCUGACGUUGAGGCACGAAAGCGUGGGGAGCAAACAGGAUUAGAUACCCUGGUAGUCCACGCAGUAAACGAUGAUAACUCGUUGUCGGCGAUACACAGUCGGUGACUAAGCGAAAGCGAUAAGUUAUCCACCUGGGGAGUACGUUCGCAAGAAUGAAACUCAAAGGAAUUGACGGGGGCCCGCACAAGCGGAGGAACAUGUGGUUUAAUUC